rnacentral:rRNA from 1 species
CUUUACUGCAACUUGGCAGUGAUUUUCGGGAUGUUCUGCGUAGGAUAGGUGGGAGGCUUUGAAGCUGGGCUUCUGGGUUCAGCAGAGCCAACGUUGAAAUACCACCCUGGAUAUUCUGGAAAUCUAACCUAGGCCCGUGAUCCGGGCCAGGGACACUGCCUGGCGGGCAGUUUGACUGGGGCGGUCGCCUCCAAAAAAGUAACGGAGGCGUGCGAAGGUUCCCUCAGCCUGAUUGGAAACCAGGCGUAGAGUGCAAACGCACAAGGGAGCUUAACUGUGAGACCGACAGGUCGAACAGGUGCGAAAGCAGGCGUUAGUGAUCCGGUGGUUCUGCAUGGAAGGGCCAUCGCUUAUCGGAUAAAAGGUA